AUGAAAUUAGAAGGAUCUGAUACAAUGGCCCCAAAUACUGCAAAAAAAAAGGCACCUUUGCAUUUCUAUCAAUGGCCACAUUCAAAAGAAACUCGAAUGUUGACCCGGCGAGAUGCUACCAGGGCGCCCCAGCGCUCGAAGAUUGGCUGGCCAUCCCACCCCAGGGACGGAGGGGCCGACUGGUUGACCUUGGUGCUCGGGACGGGUGGUGCCCGGGGAGUGCGCUUGGGAGGCAUGAAAUUGCCCCUGCCCCCUGGCUCCAGCACGCCAAGUGGCCAACACUUUUUGGGCUGGCAUGACGUCGGGUCGGCCCAUUUUAACGGGUCCAGGGGACCCUCCUGGGACGCUGACAGUUCCCUGACUACUCCUGUGGCAUGUGUGGUGCUCACAGAAUCGAAUCUCGAGACCACCUGUUUUUGCAAUGUCCAUUUGCUACAUCCUCCUGGACUUACCUCUGCCCCUCUUGUACAACCCAGCAGAUGCCUAUCCAGCAAUGCAGCUCUGAGACACGACCUCCAUUUGCCUUUCUCCAUGGAUAUCAUCAUUUUAGCCUUCUGGGCAAUCUGGACUACAAGGGAUGAUAUAAUCUUGAAAGGAAUCCUCCCAAGCCUGUACAGAUGCGGGAGCAGACUUAAAAAGGACAUUCACUUCGUCAUCCACAGAGCAAAGAGAAAUACUUACUCAGACCUACAGGCAUGGGUGGAUGCAUUCAUUUAA
rnacentral:rRNA from 1 species